GGGGCGUGGCUUAGCGGCGAAUGAGAGCGGUCGCCUGAUCUCGGAGCUCUCCCGCCGAUGGGUGUUUACAGCGUGACUACACAGCAUACAAGCACCGGCAAGAGCGGCAAACAAGCGGGCAUACCCCCACCUCAUAAUGUCCACAAAGUCCGCCAAGAAAUUCAAACAAAAGACCCUCCAAAUGCAAGUGAUAGCGUCGCCGAAGUGCGGACAGGAGGAACAAAAUGGCGCCGACCAGCCCCAGUCCCCAGCCUCAUGCUCAGAAGGCGGUGAGUUUACCCUCACUGCAGAUGACAUGCAAGCACCAGCCACAAAUGCUUCACUACAGAACAUGCUAUCUGAAUUAAAACACACCUUCAAAACAGACCUGAAACAAAUUGCUACAGAUAUCAGGGCUGACAUUCAAGCUUUAGGUGAAAGAACAGCACGUCUGGAAGAGAGAGCAGAGGAAACUAUAGAGGCCCAUAAUAGCCUAGCAGAGGCACACAACGACCUAAUACAGAGAGUACAAAGCCUAGAAGCAAAAGUGGCAGACCACGAAGACCGGGACCGCCGCAAUAAUAUUAGAAUCCGGGGAAUACCGGAAUCAGUCGGCUCCCUAGAUCUAACCCAAUAUGUAAAGGAAAUAUUUACAGCAUACGUUCCAGCAUUGAAGGAAACUGAGUUGCUGCUUGACCGCACACACCGCCUCCCAAGACCCAAGCACUUACCGACUACAGUACCGAGAGACGUCAUAACGCGAAUACACUAUUUCACAACGAAAGAUCGAAUAAUGCAAGCGUCUAGACGCCAAGGUCAGCUCCCAGGUCAAUUUUCCCAAAUCAAGCUAUUCAUUGACCUCUCCACUGCGACUAUGAUAAAAAGGCGAUCGUUUACCCACAUCACAGCGGCAUUGAGAACGGCGGAAGUACAGUAUAAAUGGGGCUUCCCGACCAAGUUACUAGUAAAACGCAACGGCGUAGACAAC